GCGUUCGUAGCUCAGUGGAUAGAGCAUCGGUUUCCGGUACCGUGUGUCGCAGGUUCGAAUCCUGUCGAGCGCGCUA
rnacentral:tRNA from 4 species